GCUGAGAGCAGUCAAAAUGCAUUAAAGAAGCUGUCAUACCGAUUGUUACCGUAAGUACACAAUUACACGCGCAAGCCAAAAAAAAUGCGGCUGGCUUGACCGCAGUCCUGCACGCGCGAGGUUAGACAAGCCUCUCCGUGUAAACUGGAAACGCUUAUUUUUUUAUUAUUAUUAGUUUUUUUACAAAAGAUCAUUUCAGACCCUACUGUUUCUUCUUAUUCUUCUUUUUUGUGUACGUCAACCCCACAACAUCCACAAAUUCAGAUGACGCCAAAUGUGUGUUUCUUUCCGUGAAAGUGUUACCGUAAGUACACAAUUACACGCGCAAGCCAAAAAAAAAUGCGGCUGGCUUGACCGCAGUCCUGCACGCGCGAGGUUAGACAAGCCUCUCCGUGUAAACUGGAAACGCUUAUUUUUUUAUUAUUAUUAGUUUUUUUACAAAAGAUCAUUUCAGACCCUACUGUUUCUUCUUAUUCUUCUUUUUUGUGUACGUCAACCCCACAACAUCCACAAAUUCAGAUGACGCCAAAUGUGUGUUUCUUUCCGUGAAAGUGAAACUAAAGCACCAGGAUUCGUCGAGGAAUGUGAGGAAUAUAAAUAACUCCGAGAGAGGAAAACCGAGAAAAUUUCAAACAUGAGAUCCAUGUCUCCUGCUCCAGAGUCCAGCUGUGUGUCUAUGAGGAGCGACGCGUCAAUGGAUCCUCCAACUAAUUUCAGUUCGGGAGACUCUUCUGCUAAACGGAGGAAAAUUUCAAACAUGAGAUCCAUGUCUCCUGCUCCAGAGUCCAGCUGUGUGUCUAUGAGGAGCGACGCGUCAAUGGAUCCUCCAACUAAUUUCAGUUCAGGAGACUCUUCUGCUAAACGGAGCUACAGUAACGAACAGGAAGGAUCAAAGUCUUUGAAUAGCGAGAUGCUGCCAGAUGCCAUCUUCAGGGAGCUCGAGGACACAAGCAUCUCUUUGAUGAAGAACGAGCUGAGAAGAUUCAAGAAACUGCUGAACCCAGAUUACCCAGCAUGCUCUGUGAGAGAGGAGGAGGAGGAGGAGGAGGAGGAUGAAGGGCAGAGUCGAGUGAGCGAGGCAGUUCUGAGGAUUAUGCUUCAUGUCCUGAGGAAGAUGAACCAGCCAGAACUCGCUAACACACUCCAG
rnacentral:lncRNA from 1 species